rnacentral:rRNA from 2 species
AAAUUGAAGAGUUUGAUCAUGGCUCAGAUUGAACGCUGGCGGCAGGCCUAACACAUGCAAGUCGAACGGUAACAGGAAGCAGCUUGCUGCUUCGCUGACGAGUGGCGGACGGGUGAGUAAUGUCUGGGAAACUGCCUGAUGGAGGGGGAUAACUACUGGAAACGGUGGCUAAUACCGCAUAACGUCGCAAGACCAAAGAGGGGGACCUUCGGGCCUCUUGCCAUCAGAUGUGCCCAGAUGGGAUUAGCUAGUUGGUGAGGUAACGGCUCACCAAGGCGACGAUCCCUAGCUGGUCUGAGAGGAUGACCAGCCACACUGGAACUGAGACACGGUCCAGACUCCUACGGGAGGCAGCAGUGGGGAAUAUUGCACAAUGGGCGCAAGCCUG